rnacentral:misc_RNA from 1 species
UUUUUUCUUCAAGUAAGGUAUGUUUUCUUACUUCGAAUACCAUGGAAACUUAUAUUAAGAGAUUAAAAGAGGAGAUCAAUUACUACAAAAAUGUUCUCGAAGAAAUUAAUUAUGACAUUGGAUUUCAUAAGGGUCAAUUACUAUCUCUGUCAUUGGAUAGAAAUUAUAGCUAUAAACGUGAUCGUAAAAGGUGUUCUUUCUUACGUGGUGAAUAUGGAGAGGUCAAACAGAUUUUACUACAUAAAGAAAGGGAAUAUGAAGAUUUACAACCAUCCUUACAAGUCAAGGAAAGAGAGCUUGCGAAAUGCAGGAAAAAACUUGUGCUUUCAAGUGUGAAAGAAUUGAAUACAUAGUUUGAUAAGUUCUCAAAAGUAAAGCUUAAUAAGUUAUCAAAAAUAGAGCGUAAUGAAUUAUUAGUAGCUUUGCAAGAACUUAAAGAAGAAAUUCAAAUUGUAAAUCAAGGAAAGAAGCUUGACGUUGAAGAUGAACAAGAAGAAAAAUUCGAAGAGUAGCUUGAAGAUGAGAACGAGGAACAAAAAGAGCAACCUAAAGGAACAAAGGUUGAAGAGUAUGAGAUUGAAGAAUCUAACGAUUCAAGUGUUGAGCAUUCACAUGUUGAAUAGCCUUUUCCAGAGCAAGAAAUUGAUAAAAUUGCACAACCCAAGCUUGAGGAAGAUAUAUUGGGGAAUGAAGAAGAUUCUAUGGAGACAUCAAUGAAAAUUGAAGAUCCUAUUAAGUUAAAGGGCAAUUCAACUAUUGUUCUAAUUAAUUUUAUCUGUCCAAAUGUUUCCAAGAAUACAAAAGCGAGCGCAAACUUUUUCAAGUUAUUCUUAUUGCUACAGUCCAAGAAAAUCGUACUGUGUUUUCUCCUUACUUGAUUCUUAAUCCUUCAACACUUCAGAACUCGAGGUCUAGUUUUCUCCAAACAGGAGAAAAUGAUGCAGUAUAGAAAGCUUAGAAUUUUAUUUACGAAUUUUAAUUAUUAUAGAAUUAAGAAAUUUAAAGAGUUUUUAUUAUUAGGGAAUUUUAUUAUUAUUGGUUCAUCAUUUCCUAAUUUAUCUUAUUU